rnacentral:rRNA from 1 species
AGCGACGUGACUCCCGUGUCGCGAAAGAGAUAAAACACGAAAUGACUCUCGGCAACGGAUAUCUCGGCUCUCGCAUCGAUGAAGAACGUAGCGAAAUGCGAUACUUGGUGUGAAUUGCAGAAUCCCGUGAACCAUCGAGUCUUUGAACGCAAGUUGCGCCCGAGGCCAUUAGGCCGAGGGCACGUCUGCCUGGGUGUCACG